rnacentral:rRNA from 1 species
UACGAAGGGGGCUAGCGUUGCUCGGAAUCACUGGGCGUAAAGCGCACGUAGGCGGACUCUUAAGUCGGUGGUGAAAUCCUGGAGCUCAACUCCAGAACUGCCUUCGAUACUGAGAGUCUCGAGUCCGGGAGAGGUGAGUGGAACUGCGAGUGUAGAGGUGAAAUUCGUAGAUAUUCGCAAGAACACCAGUGGCGAAGGCGGCUCACUGGCCCGGUACUGACGCUGAGGUGCGAAAGCGUGGGGAGCAAACUGG